GAUGAACGCUAGCUACAGGCUUAACACAUGCAAGUCGAGGGACCGGCGCACGGGUGAGUAACACGUAUCCAACCUGCCCUUUACUCGGGGAUAGCCUUUCGAAAGAAAGAUUAAUACCCGCUAUAAAGGAUGGGGAUGCGUGCCAUUAGGUUGUUGGGGAGGUAACGGCUCACCAAGCCUUCGAUUGAUAGGGGUUCUGAGAGGAAGGUCCCCCACAUUGGAACUGAGACACGGUCCAAACGCCUACGGGAGGCAGCAGUGAGGAAUAUUGGUCAAUGGGCGCUAGCCUGAUCCAGCCAAGUAGCGUGAAGGAUGAAGGCUUAUGGGUCGUAAACUUCUUUUAUAUAAGAAUAUGGAGGAUAGGAAUAAGGAUCGGCUAACUCCGUGCCAGCAGCCGCGGUAAUUA
rnacentral:rRNA from 1 species